UUGACUGAGCGGCGGACGGGUGAGUAACGCGUGGGUAACCUGCCUCAUACAGGGGGAUAACAGUUGGAAACGGCUGCUAAUACCGCAUAAGCGCACAGUACCGCAUGGUACCGUGUGAAAAACUCCGGUGGUAUGAGAUGGACCCGCGUCGGAUUAGCUAGUUGGUGGGGUAACGGCCUACCAAGGCGACGAUCAGUAGCCGACCUGAGAGGGUGACCGGCCACAUUGGGACUGAGACACGGCCCAAACUCCUACGGGAGGCAGCAUG
rnacentral:rRNA from 1 species